rnacentral:misc_RNA from 1 species
AUUGAGUUUGCUCUCAGCCAUCGGGCUUCUGCUUGAGGUUCAAUCUCCGAAUCUCCAUCGCAGGCCGUGUUUCAAGUUUCCAUCACAAAGUUACUCCCAUGGCUUCCACUUCGACCAAGGAUGUUGUUGCUGAUGAGAAGACAGCGUCAUCAGAAAACAAAAAUACCAAAAGUGAAACACCCAAAAGUGAAACAUCCAAAAGGGAAACAUCCUCUGCAGAACAGCAGCCAGAUAAACCAAAAUCUACCUCUGCUUCACCUCACGAAGGAGAAUUUCCUCCAAAUCCUUUUGAUUUCUCAGCAAUGACUGGUUUGCUUAAUGAUCCUAGCAUUCAAGAAUUAGCUUCUCAAAUAGCAAAAGAUCCUGCAUUUAAUCAGAUGGCAUCGCAACUUCAGAAGACUUUUCAAGGUGCUUCUGCUCAGCAGGGUAUUCCUCAGUUUGAUACACAACAAUACUAUUCUACCAUGCAGCAGGUCAUGCAGAAUCCUCAAUUCAUGACAAUGGCUGAGCGCCUUGGCAAUGCAUUAAUGCAGGAUCCAUCCAUGUCUAGCAUGCUGGAAACUUUUGCAAAUCCAUCAAAUAAAGAGCAGCUUGAGGAACGUAUGGCACAAAUCAAGGAAGAUCCAAG